rnacentral:rRNA from 1 species
AUGGUUUGCGGGAAAACUCUUCUCUCUCUCGUCUCACUUCGAGUCCUUCUAGAAGUAAAUAAAGGAAAUGCUUGUUCAACUACAGCGUUGUCGGAUAAACGACCGGAUUCAAGCCCUAGCCUAAAAAAAGCCCUUUCGGAUGAAAAAAAGGAAGAAUAGUAUGUGAUAUAUCUCACUUGGAUAACAAAAUUAAAAGCAAAUUUCUCUUAUCCUCGUUUGUUCCUUCCUUUAGAUAAAUACUUAAAAAUCCCCUUACAAUAA